rnacentral:rRNA from 1 species
AACGAACGCUGGCGGCAUGCCUAACACAUGCAAGUCGAACGAGACCUUCGGGUCUAGUGGCGCACGGGUGCGUAACGCAUGGGAACCUGCCCUUAGGUUCGGAAUAACUCCCCGAAAGGGGUGCUAAUACCGGAUAAUGUCUUCGGACCAAAGAUUUAUCGCCUUUGGAUGGGCCCGCGUUGGAUUAGCUAGUUGGUAGGGUAAAAGCCUACCAAGGCGACGAUCCAUAGCUGGUCUGAGAGGAUGAUCAGCCACACUGGGACUGAGACACGUCCCAAAUACUGAGGGAAGGCAGCAGGGGGGAUAAUGGGACAAGGGGCGAAAGCAGAAGCCAGCAAGGCCGCGUAGGUGAUGAGGGCCUAAGGGUGGUAAAGCUCUUUUACCCGGGAUGUUAAGAACGUACCCGGAGGAUAAGGCCCGGCUUAAUUCGGG